rnacentral:misc_RNA from 1 species
AAGUCGUAACAAGGUUUCCGUAGGUGAACCUGCGGAAGGAUCAUUAACACGUAUCCAACGUUAAACAACCCUGUGAACUUUCAGACGCUCUUGUAGCCCAGGCGGAACAGCAAUCCCGGUAAAUCAAUGGCGGAAAAGUUUUGAUUCGGGACCUCUGUCCAAUUAGUUACAAUCGAGCUAGGAGCAGUGGCAUGGUUUCCCUAAGCAGUGCAGAAGGAUCCACUGAGUAAGGAUAACGCAUCACGGUUGCUAGAGGUCGAUCACCGGCCGGCAGACAUGUCACAGGGCUACCCACCGGAAACGCUGGGCACAAAAACCGAACAACUGUUAACAAUGGAUAUCUUGGUUCUC